AAGUGGCAGGGGAGGGAGGAGAAUAGGAGGAAGGAGAAAGAGAAGAGAGGAGAGAAACCUCAGAGUCACAGCACAGUAGGAGGAUUGAAGUGCUGGUGGGAGAGAAUGUGCUGAGAAGGAGAUGGAGCAGCCCUAACCAGAUUUACCAAAUGAGCUUUCCUCAGAUCUCCAAAGAAGCCACUUAGGGUUACAACAGUUGAGUGUUAAAGAAAGUAUGCAUUUAGCAAGUGGCCGAAGACAUUUGCCGAGAUGCUUGUCCUCUGACCCCCUGCAGCUUGACUGAUGUAAUGGGAGAGAUAUGUUGGCUAUAUUUAUGCAGUCAAGCCUCCGAAGAGAUGGAAUUUAUCUGGACAUCACUGGAAAACAAAUUUUGUUGUGAAAACUCUGAAGAUGUGUUUUCUCGAGAGCAUCUGAAAGGAGGAGUUUACAGAGCCAUCCUUCUAAGGGUCUGUGAUUCCAUUGCCUUUUUGGUGGUGCUCCUAAUUCCUUCAUGACCCGGCUGAUACAAUUGUGAACUAGGAAGUAGGAUUCAACCAAGACUCCAACUUGCAGGCCCCUUGAUCAGUGCUUUGCCUCUAAAUAACAAGUUUACCUGACUAAAAAGACCAGGUGUCUAAUCGACUUGGCUGGUUGUGCUGACAGAUAUUUGAUGUGACAUCCAUUGACUACACUGACGGGAAUUUGAAUGAGUUCAAGUCAAAAUGUUUGAAUUCAUCAGUGGGGAGUGUCAACCAAUUUUUGCUCUGGAGAAAGCACUCAAAUGUCUGCAUUUUACAAUGAGGAAGUACAAGCUGUUUGGCCUCAAGAAAUAAGUGAUCCAAGAGGAGAUUUCUUUGAAAGGACCUGAGUGAUAUUUUGUGUCUUCUGAUCUCUUGUAAGAACCUGAGUUUGUUCAGGAAAGACCAACUCAUGUGCCCAUUACAAUUACAUGGUCUCUGGGGGAAAGUAAAAGCAGUGGAAGUGA